rnacentral:rRNA from 1 species
GAACGAACGCUGGCGGCAGGCCUAACACAUGCAAGUCGAGCGAGGACUUCGGUUCUAGCGGCGGACGGGUGAGUAACGCGUGGGAAUGUGCCCUUCUCUACGGAAUAGCCCUGGGAAACUGGGAGUAAUACCGUAUACGCCCUAUUGGGGAAAGAUUUAUCGGAGAAGGAUCAGCCCGCGUUGGAUUAGGUAGUUGGUGGGGUAAUGGCCUACCAAGCCGACGAUCCAUAGCUGGUUUGAGAGGAUGAUCAGCCACACUGGGACUGAGACACGGCCCAGACUCCUACGGGAGGCAGCAGUGGGGAAUCUUAGACAAUGGGGGCAACCCUGAUCUAGCCAUGCCGCGUGAGUGAUGAAGGCCUUAGGGUUGUAAAGCUCCUUCAGCUGGGAAGAUAAUGACGGUACCAGCAGAAGAAGCCCCGGCUAACUCCGUG